GCGGGCCGAGAGCGGAACCGGGCCGUGGUCUCGGUCAACAGUUGCCGACAGCGCUGCUCGCCCUCCGCGGACAGAGACUCAAGCAGCAUGCCCGCACGCAGCGGGGCACCAAGGCCUUCGGCCGGAUCCUGUCUUGAUGUGCAAUCUGGACAGAAUCCAGGCCACAAUAAGAGCAUUUUACACAAAUCAAAAUGACUAUUUAGAAAAAAAAAGAAAACCCAAAUUAACAAAUGGUGAAGAUGUGGGGAAAUUGGAACCCUUAUGUGCUGUCGGUGGAAAUGUAAAAUGGUGCAGCCACUGUGGAAGCAAGUCCUUAAAAAAUGAAAAGAGAUUAGGCAGGGGAGAUUGAGGCAGGAAGGUGGAGAGUCCGAGGCCAGCCUGGGCAAUUUAGUGACUUAGAUCCUGUCCAAAAAUUAAAAAAUAAAAAGGGCUGGAGAUGUAGUUCAGUGGUAGAAUGCACCUGGGUUUGACUCCCAGUACUAAAGAAACAAAGAUUACCAUAUGAUUCAGCAAUUCCACUUCUGAAUCUAUACCCAAAAGAUUGAAAGUAGGAACUGAAACAAAGAUAUUUGUAAACCCAUGUUCAGAGCAGCAUUAUUUGAAAAGCCAAAAUGUAGAAGCAACCUGUGUCCACUAACAGAUGAAUGGAUAAAUAAAAUGUGGUGUAGA